AGUGGAUGGGCUUGUUAAAACAGGUUUCUGGGUCUCACUCUGACAGUUUCUGAUUCUGUAAGUCUGGGACGGGGCCAGAGAGUUUGAAUUUCUACAAGUUCCCUGGUGUGAUAGGCAGCUUUCCAAAGCUAUCCCAGCAGGAACCCCAUCCCCUGGUUAGUCACUGAAACACCAUCCAGGAACUGCUGGGAAGGGACUAGCAGGUGGGGUUCAGGCUCCUAACGGACUGACUGUGAAGGAGGGAGAUGCUCCUGGCUUAUCUGGGUGGGUCCAGGGUAGUCACCUGAGCCCUAAAAGCAGAGAGAGGUCAGACAAAGGUGGAGCAUGAGGAAGGUUCCCUCUGCCCUUGCUGGCUUUGGAGACGGAGGAAGGAGCUGGAGCCAAUGAUGCGGUUGGCCUCUGGAAACCAAGAACAGCCCCAAACAGCUCAUGGAACCCAGGGCCUUGAGACUGCACGCAACUGAUUUCUGACAACAGCCUGAAGGAGCUUGAAAGAGAUUCAUCCGCAGAGCUUCUGGAGAGGGCUGCAGCCCUGAGCCAGGUCUCCUGGACGCUCAGCAGAGAGGCAUCUGAGCCGCGCUGUGCUGGGCUUCUGACCUACAGAAACUGUGAGAGGAUGCAUUUGCGUUGUUCUGAUCAUUGAAUUUCUGGUGAUUCGUUACGGCAGCAAUAGAAAGUUAAUACUCGUGGUAUACUGAUGCUGCUGGACCACAAUGUGAGAAUCGCUGGCUUGUCUGGUAUGAUAAAACUGAGUAACCAGCUUGCACAUCUGAUGGACGGCAGAGCUGGGCUGGUCCCCGUGUCUUCAGUCUCUUCUAGUUCUUCCUGGACAUCUUGGGAUAAGGAGGAUGUUGGUCAAGAGAGGAUGUAGAUUUGUUGGAAUCAUCAGAGGAGACUGAGAAUCUCCAAGUACCGAAGUGGAGGACGACGGUGCGAGCCAGAGAGCUUAGACGACAGACAGACGUGUGGUUCCCCUGGUCUGGGAGCUGCACAGCACCAGGCUGUCUGGAGGCCGUGACAGGGGAGGAAGGGACCCUGGUGGCCCAAGAGUGGAAGCGCCCGCCAUGCUGCAGAAGACUUCUCCUUUCUGGCCUGUUGUGCAGUGUCUUCAUUCUCAAUAAAUACACAAUUUGACCUUACACGUGA
rnacentral:lncRNA from 1 species